rnacentral:rRNA from 1 species
AUGAGCAAGGACAGGCACGAGCACCACCUGCGGCGCUGCUGCGGCGGCCUCGCGGCGUGCCUCCUGUUCCUGGUCGUCGCCGUCGCGGUCACCGCGCUCGUCGUCUACCUCGCGCUCCGCCCCGCCAAGCCCUCCUUCUACCUGCAGGACCUGCAGCUCCGCUCCGUCAGCCUCGGGGACCCGUCCCUGUCCGCCACCGCUCAGGUCACGCUCGCCUCCCGCAACCCCAACGACCGCGUCGGCGUGCUCUACCGGCGCCUCGACGUCUUCGUCACCUACCGCGACGAGCCCGUGACCGUGCCGGUGUCCUUGCCGCCCGCGUACCAGGGCCACCGGGACGUCACCAUCUGGUCCCCCGUGCUGUCCGGUGAGUCCGUGCCGGUGGCCGGGUUCGUCGCCGACGCCAUGAAGCAGGACAUCGCCGCCGGGUACGUGGCGCUGCAGGUCAAGGUCGACGGCCGCGUCCGGUGGAAGGUCGGCAGCUGGGUCUCCGGCAGCUACCACCUCUUCGUCAGCUGCCCUGCCGUGCUUGCCGCCGGCCCCGGCGGUGUCCCGCCCGGCGCUGGUGGCCCCAACGGCACCGCCGGCCGAGCCGUCGCGUCGCUGAAGUUCACGCAGCCCACAGGGUGCACCGUCGGCACCUGA